CCCAGCUUCUGACUGUGAGCCAUUCAGCUACAAUGGGGAGGCCUAGAUGCUAGGCCCACAUGAGAGAGGGAAGGAUUUCAGGCCCAAGGCCCAAGUGGGGCAGGAAGAAGCACACGCUCACCUCAGUUGCCUUCUUUGCUGAGGAUGAGUUGCAAGACAGCUGGUUCAUUACAUCAGCCACGGCAUUAUUGACCUUUUCCCUUUCUAGUGAUUAGCCUCCGAUCUCCGAUACAUUCUUUGUGACCUUGUAGGAAGAGAUGGAAUCUGUGCAUUAGCCCUCUCAUGCUAUGGAGCCACGAGAAGGUUUGACAGCAGAAGUAGAUGCAGUGUGGACUAAUCUAUGAGGGACUAACAGGUUCAUGCCAUAUAGCAGGCCUGCACAACAUACAGCCCGCGGUGGCGUGCCUGCCCGCCGACAGGAGCCAGCAAUGCGGGCGGCUGAGUCCAGCCCAAUCAGAGCUGCGGUGGCGGGGCUUUCAGGCACCCCCCCUGACCCAAUGCCGGCGCCAGCGCAAGGAUAUUUUUGCGCCCUCGCGCGCCACCUCCCCCCCUGCCCCAAGCAGGACACAGGCACGGAGCCCUCGCGCGCU